rnacentral:rRNA from 1 species
CCAGACAGCCAGGAUGUUGGCUUAGAAGCAGCCAUCAUUUAAAGAAAGCGUAAUAGCUCACUGGUCGAGUCGGCCUGCGCGGAAGAUGUAACGGGGCUAAACCAUGCACCGAAGCUGCGGCAGCGAACGUAUCACCCAAGACAACUUUACGGAGUUGACGAUUGACGGAGCGAAGCGACGUCAAAGCGUUCAUUAAAGUCGAGUUGGCUUAGGGAUACGUUCGUUGGGUAGGGGAGCGUUCUGUAAGCCUGCGAAGGUGGCCUGUGAGGGUUGCUGGAGGUAUCAGAAGUGCGAAUGCUGACAUAAGUAACGAUAAAGCGGGUGAAAAGCCCGCUCGCCGGAAGACCAA